UCUAAUACUUCAUAAUAUCCAUCUCGUAUGGAUUAAAGCUUAUGCGCUUUGGAGGGGCCUGCGUAACAUUAGCUGUUGGUGAGGUAAAAGGACUCACCAAGGCUUCGAUGUUUAACUGGUUUGAGAGGAUGACCAGUCACACUGGGACUGAGAUACGGCCCAGACUCCUACGGGAGGCAGCAGUAAGGAAUCUUCCACAAUGGGGGCAACCCCGAUGGAGCAAUACCGCGUACAGGAUGAAGCGUUUCGGCGUGUAAACUGCUUUUAUCACCGAAGAUUAUGACUGUAGGUGAAGAAUAAGGACCGGCUAACUACGUG
rnacentral:rRNA from 1 species